rnacentral:rRNA from 1 species
AUGAAAUCAAAAGCCUUAGUUUUCAUUCUAAUUUCCUCUUCUUCGUCCUCAAAGUAUUUCCUAAGUCCUCAACUUACACUAAUUAAGUGCUCUCACCAUUCAAACCAAAACCAUUUACACGGCCAAGUAAACCACCAGAACGAAAAUGAAAUUUGGCGCCUACGAUCAGUCAAUCGAAUGGCGAUUUGGCCUUCGAUGAAGAGUAGACGGCAGAGAAGCUGCUGCUGUUGCUGUUGCAGGCGCUGCUCCCGGGGCCCUGCCGGCAUGGCGGCGUGCUCGACGUCGAUGUGGUGGCCUUUGUCGUCGCCAAUGGCAUUGUUGUCGAGGUGGCAUCCUUGGCCGGCGACCCGCAGCCGCCACCACCGCCCUUGA